rnacentral:rRNA from 1 species
CUCGUAGGUGGCCUGUCGCGUCGGCUGUGAAAACUCGGGGCUCAACUCCGAGCUUGCAGUCGAUACGGGCAGGCUAGAGUGCGGCAGGGGAGACUGGAAUUCCUGGUGUAGCGGUGAAAUGCGCAGAUAUCAGGAGGAACACCGGUGGCGAAGGCGGGUCUCUGGGCCGAUACUGACACUGAGGAGCGAAAGCGUGGGAGCGAACA